rnacentral:rRNA from 1 species
GGCGAACGCUGGCGGCGUGCUUAACACAUGCAAGUCGAACGGAAAGGCCCUGCUUUUGUGGGGUGCUCGAGUGGCGAACGGGUGAGUAACACGUGAGUAACCUGCCCUUGACUUUGGGAUAACUUCAGGAAACUGGGGCUAAUACCGGAUAGGAGCUCCUGCUGCAUGGUGGGGGUUGGAAAGUUUCGGCGGUUGGGGAUGGACUCGCGGCUUAUCAGCUUGUUGGUGGGGUAGUGGCUUACCAAGGCUUUGACGGGUAGCCGGCCUGAGAGGGUGACCGGCCACAUUGGGACUGAGAUACGGCCCAGACUCCAACGGGAGGCAGCAGUGGGGAAUAUUGCACAAUGGGCGGAAGCCUGAUGCAGCAACGCCGCGUGCGGGAUGACGUCCUUCGGGUUGUAAACCGCUUUCGCCUGUGACGAAGCGUGAGUGACGGUAAUGGGUAAAGAAGCACCGGCUAACUACGUG